AUUGAACGCUGGCGGCAGGCCUAACACAUGCAAGUCGAACGGUAGCACAGAGAGCUUGCUCUUGGGUGACGAGUGGCGGACGGGUGAGUAAUGUCUGGGAAACUGCCCGAUGGAGGGGGAUAACUACUGGAAACGGUAGCUAAUACCGCAUAACGUCUUCGGACCAAAGUGGGGGACCUUCGGGCCUCACACCAUCGGAUGUGCCCAGAUGGGAUUAGCUAGUAGGUGGGGUAACGGCUCACCUAGGCGACGAUCCCUAGCUGGUCUGAGAGGAUGACCAGCCACACUGAAACUGAGACACGGUCCGGACUCCUACGGGAGGCAGCAGUGGGGAAUAUUGCACAAUGGGCGCAAGCCUGAUGCAGCCAUGCCGCGUGUAUGAAGAAGGCCUUCGGGUUGUAAAGUACUUUCAGUGGGGAGGAAGGCGAUGGAGUUAAUAGCUUCGUCGAUUGACGUUACCCGCAGAAGAAGCACCGGCUAACUCCGUGCCAGCCGCCGCAGUAA
rnacentral:rRNA from 1 species